AUGCUCUGUGGAGGUAAAACAAUAUUACUUAUUAGAAACAACGAGGAGGAAGAAGCCCCGCCGGCCCAACCAUUUCCGGGGGCCGCGGGGAAUCCCCAGAGGCGAAGAGGCUCACGACGGCCUAGUUCUAUUUAUCCAUUUCUAGGGUGUCACGUAAGGAGCCGGACUAUGCGGGGCCAUGUUACCUUGGCACAUCUCCAUCCCGUGUUCCGGAGGUCUCUACUCCCGAGGUGGGGGCCAGCCUCCGGUACAGAGUAUUACUGUGGUUGGUCCAUCAUCUGCUGGGAUAGGGAGAAGUGUACUAAACGGUCCAAUACUAUCAACUGCCCCGCCACAAUCAUCCAGGAUGGAGAUGAUUACAGACCUGGGCAAACGCAGCACAUCCAUGCAGGGGACUCGGGAUCUCACAUUGCACUGAGGAUAAAAGCAGAGGUCAAACAGCAGGCCAAACAAGCUAAAUUUGAGGAGAGAAUUUCGUCCAUUGUGGUAAAAGCCAUUACGACCCAUGGAGAUAAAUCAGCACCAGCUGGCAGCAGGCCAAACCCAGGGUACCUGGUUAGAACCGCCAACAGAGUUCGAUAGAUGGACAGACCCAAAUACCCAUCUGAUCUGCAUGACGAGUGCUUACAUGUAUAAAUAUAAGUUGCCCAGAAGGACACUGAACAUUGAUCUUCGAAGAGAUUGGACAGACAAUGGAACUAACCUUUUGGAGAGAACCGAGUGAAAAAGACUUGAAGAUAGGGCAAUACAUUGAAGUUACUCAUUGUCUUGUAUCAGAAUGGUUCAAAAAGAAGAGACUCAAUAACACAAGAAACACC
rnacentral:sRNA from 1 species